rnacentral:rRNA from 1 species
CCUACGGGAGGCAGCAGUGGGGAAUUUUGGACAAUGGGCGAAGGCCUGAUCCAGCGACGCCGCGUGGAGGACGAAGGUCUUCGGAUUGUAAACUCCUUUUGCAGGGGACGAAAAAAAUGACGGUACUCUGCGAAUAAGCCACGGCUAACUACGUGCCAGCAGCCGCGGUAAUACGUAGGUGGCGAGCGUUACUCGGAAUCACUAGGCGUAAGGCGCGUGUAGGCGGUAUUUUAAGUCUGUUGUGAAAUCUUAUGGCCCAACCAAAAAAGGUCGACAGAUACUGAAGAACAAGAGUGAGGCAGGGGAAACUGGAAUUCCAGGUGUAGGGGUGAAAUGCGUAGAUAUCUGGAAGAACGCCAAAGGCGAAGGCGGGUUUCUGGGCCUUUACUGACGCUGAGACGCGAAAGCUAGGGGAGCAAACAGGAUUAGAUACCGGGUUAGU